rnacentral:rRNA from 1 species
CAGCAGUUCAAGUUGCAUCCCUUUUUAUUGGGCCUAAAGCAUCCGUAGCCGGCGCUGUAAGUUUUCGGUUAAAUCUGUACGCUCAACGUACGGGCUGCCGGGAAUACUGCAGCGCUAGGGAGUGGGAGAGGUAGACGGUACUCGGUAGGAAGGGGUAAAAUCCUUUGAUCUAUUGAUGACCACCUGUGGCGAAGGCGGUCUACCAGAACCCGUCCGACGGUGAGGGAUGAAAGCUGGGGGAGCAAACCGGAUUAGAUACCCGAGUAGUCC